rnacentral:lncRNA from 1 species
GGAGACCCGGUGUUGGGUGGGGUCCCGGCAGGGACAAGCCGCUGCCGCCAUCAGUCACCGAGGUGGGGUGGGGAUGAGAGGUUCGCCGCGGCUUCAAGACCUGGGUCCGGCCAGUGGGCAGCCACAUCGGAGGCCUCAGGAUUAUCAAUCACAGUCAUAUCUAUAAUGAAACUGGAAGAAAAACUACACAGAAAAGAAUUCAAAGUGAUUUGGCACUGCCUUCUGCUUGGCCCAUCUGCUGUUAUUUUUUUUCUCCUACUGGCAGAACGUUAGACAAUAUUUCAACUUAGCAUCUCAUAGGCAGUUAAACAACGGACAAGGCAUUUCCCUCAAUAAAUCUCCUUCACUACUAACUCUGUCUUGGCACCUGAACCAACACCGGACCUAACCAACACAGUUUUGAGGAAGGCUGAAGAAGAGUGGGCUGGAGAAGAGGAAAUGAUACCAUGUUCUUUUAAGAAAAAAGAGGAAAAAGCCCACAAGAUGAACACUAUGGUGUAUAACCCUGUCAUGUCUUUUUAGCAAUGAACUUUGGAGCCCUGGAAACAAGUAGCCCUAAGUUACAACACUCAAUUUUAAAGGUCCAGCCUCUCUUGGUAUGUCAUGAAGUCUGAUAACCUGUGGAAUCCUGUUGCCUCUUAACAGGAUGCUAAGAGUGGCACAUUCCAGUCAGAGUUGAACAACAGUUUGAACUGCAAAGGUCCACCUGAUUUUUUUCUGCCUCUGCUACCUCUGAAACAGCAAGAUCAGCCCUUGCUCUUCCUUCUGCUCCUACUCAACAUGAAGGCACAAAGACGAAGACUUUAUAAUGAUCCAUUUUUACUUAAUAAGCAGUGAGGCACUGAAGGCAGGCUCCCACUAGUCUUUAAUGGAAAUAUUACAAAGUAGAAGGUA